rnacentral:rRNA from 1 species
UACGUAGGUGGCAAGCGUUGUCCGGAUUUAUUGGGCGUAAAGGGCGCGUAGGCGGCCACGCACGUCCGUUGUGAAAUCGCUCGGCUCAACUGGGCGGGGUCAGCGGAUACGGAGUGGCUGGAGCAAGCUAGGGGGCAAUGGAAUUCCCGGUGUAGUGGUGGAAUGCGUAGAUAUCGGGAGGAACACCAGUGGCGAAGGCGGUUGCCUGGAGCUUUGCUGACGCUGAUGCGCGAAAGCGUGGGGAGCGAUCCGG